CCCAGCUCCUAGCCUCUCCUGAUGCACCCAAGUGCAGGUUGGAGGAGCCCAGUUCGAGGAGUCAGACUAGGCAGGACCCUAUUCUGGCUCUGCUCUAAUUCACUGCCUGACCCCAGGAGCUGGGAAUCAAAGAGUAAAGUGAGGUCUCCUGACUGUUAACUGAUGGCAACUGGUUAAAAACACAAGUAUGUGUGUCUGCCCCAGUGCUUAGGGGCAGAGAGAAGAUCCGGCAAACUCAACAGUCGAUGGGCCCAGAUGAGGUUCAGAACAAGAACACAGCUUUGGAGUCAACAGGCCCAGCUCAGCUGAUGACUUUGCUGUGUCAUCCGGGGACUCACCUAACCUCUCCGAGCCACAGCUUUGGAUGUCCCUUAUGCCCCCAGCACCAACACUGACCUGUUUGUGUCCCUGAAGUUCUGCCUUGUCCAGAAUGGCACACAGGUGCAAUCUCACCGAAUGCUGUCUCUCUAGUCUGGCUGCUUGGACUUGGCAUAAUGCAUUUGAGACUCACUGUGCUGAAGCCUGUAUACGAACCUCUUUCCUUCUUUGUGGCCGAGUAGUAUUCCACCGGUCAGUGUUAGCUUUUCCAUUCUCAAAUUGACGGACUCUAGAGUUUUUUGUUUCAGUUAUGAGGAAUAUGUCUAUAACUAUUUGCA